UACGGAGGAUGCAAGCGUUAUCCGGAAUGAUUGGGCGUAAAGCGUCCGCAGGUGGCAAUGUAAGUCUGCUGUUAAAGAGUCUAGCUCAACUAGAUAAAAGCAGUGGAAACUACAUAGCUAGAGUACGUUCGGGGCAGAGGGAAUUCCUGGUGUAGCGGUGAAAUGCGUAGAGAUCAGGAAGAACACCAGUGGCGAAGGCGCUCUGCUAGGCCGUAACUGACACUGAGGGACGAAAGCUAGGGGAACGAAUGGG
rnacentral:rRNA from 1 species